UUUUUUUUUUUUUUUUUUUGAGACAGAGUUAGUCUCUCCACAUAGUCCUGGGUGCUCUGGAACUCACUAUGUAGGUCAAACUGGCCUCAAACACAGAGUUCCUCCUGCCUCAACUUUCCAAGUGCUGGGAUUAAAGGCGUGCACCACCAACACCUGACUAAGGUGUGACUUUUGUUUGGUUGGUUGGUUGGUUGGUUGGUUUGGGGGUUUUUUGUUUGUUUUUUGGUUUUUGUGGGUUUUUUGUUGUUGUUUUGUUUUGUUUUUUUGUUUUUGAUACUUUUUAAAUAUCCUUUGCUGGUAUUUGAUUGAAAAAAUAUCAUUGGAGCUAGAGAGAUGGCUCAGAGGUUAAGAGCACUGACUGCUCUUCCAGAGGUCCUGAAUUCUAUUCCCAGCAACCACAUGGUGGCUCACAACCAUCUGUAAUGGGAUCCGAUGCCCUCUUAUGGUGUGUCUGAAGACAGUGAAAGUGUACUCACAUUCAUGAAAUAAAUAAAUCUUAAACAAACAAACAAAAAAACCCACGAAAAAUAUCAUGGACAUUACCACUUCCGAUUUAAAGAAAGCUGGUUCAUUUUCAAAUAUUAGUACAGAAAAUAAAAUUCAUGAUAAAGGCAUGGCAGGACAAAGAGUGAACAGGGAAGAACAUAUUAGCAUAUUUAUAGAAAUUGGGUCUAUAUGUUGUUCAAUUUUGCUUCGGUUUUCAAAUAGUAUGUGGAGCUUAUAAGAUGCACUGAGACCAGAUGCUAGGCUCAGUCUCUGAGAUCGGCCCUAUUUGCAUUCACAUGAAAUCUAAGGAGGGUUAGAGAGGAGGAAGAAGGACUCCAUGGGGGAGGGGGGUGUCAAGGGUUAGGAAAGGGGGGGAUGGCCUCAGGGUAGGUAAGAAUACAGCUUUCCUCCACCUUGCUGGGAAUCCCAGCAGGGAUACCUAAGGGAAGCUCUUGACAUCCAACUUGUGGCUCCCCACCCCGCUUUGUCCUUAGGAUAUAGCCCAGGCUAGCCUCAAACUCAAGAUCUUAGGAAGUGCUGUGUCUCAAGGGUGUUUGCUGAGGACUUUGGACGCCUUGGUGUGAGUUCAACAGUUGGGAUGCAGCAGGUGAGGGCAGGCAGGAGGUCAGAGGCCAGAAGGUGACCCAUAUGUUCCCUAUACCCUGCCCCUUGUCCCUUCAGCCUCCCUCCCUCCACUUACUGCCAGCCUCUUUCCCUUCUGCAGCCAAUACCUGGGGCUAGCCCAUUCCUCAGCCUUCAGACUCAGGGUGCCAAGAGCCUCCCUCAGGCAAGUAGCUACCACUUUUGUGCCUCUUUUUAGCACCAUGUAUAUUUCUUGGGUAUGUAAGCAAAGAGCCAGUAGGUAAAUGGACAAAAGGCAUCCGAUGCUACCUCCUAUGUCACUCAGGUGACUGACACAUUGCCCAGUCAUGAGCAUCCCUGCCACUACUAGAUCCACAUCUCCAUUCGGAGGAGUCUUUUUGGCCUGUCCAGCAUUGCCUGCUCUGCUGAAAGACAGCCCUGUCAAUUUCUACCCACUUUUAUACUCAGGAUCUCCAAUAGCUCAGGAUGGCUUCAAACUCACUAUGAGCUGAAACAGAACUCAAAGUCUUGAUCCUCUGCCUCUCUACCUUCCAAGUGCAAGUAUAUGUCACAAUACCUGGUCCACCUCUGAGUCAGACACUCAACUCUAUCCUUGACUGACUGUCCCAGCAUUGGAAGAGAAGAGAUUUUUUUUUCUUCUGAACCAAGAGAUGCUAAUCUGUGUGACUAGUCACUUGUCCAUAAGUGACUCAGAAAGGCAGACACCUAAGGAUACUUGCCAAAGUUGGAGCAAACAAGGAGAGGCGGGGCAUGGAGACGGGAGCACCUCAUCACUCCACAUAGCCAUCUCUCAACAGUCAAGAAGGGUAUAGCCAUCUACGGAGGCAAGGAUGUCGUGACACGGUGGUUCCUGAUAUGCUGGGUUGUGUCUCAUAUGGCUCCAUGGGUCUCAUGGAUACAUGAGAGAGAAAAAAAAAAGCUUAUUCCAAGGUCUCAAGCCCUUUGCCAGGCCAGCCGGUAUCACCUGACUGUAUCCAGAUCAGAAACGUGUCUUUAGAGACUCUCUUGCUUGCCUUAAUGGGAAGGUAAGUGUGUUGUCUACCGAUCCUCAGCCUAGAAAGAACUACUCGGGCCAAAGAAGACUCAGAGAUAUCAGGGGUCCCAUCUCCUUCUCUGAGCCAGCCUCAGAACCAGAGGUUAGGAAAGAAGAAAUUGGGGUGGAGGCUUUCUUCCUGUGAGAGGAGGGGGGAUGUCAGGCCAGGACACGCAGCAGAGGGGCUCGGGAAAGUCUGGUUCUUUCCGCAGGGGGAGGAACAUAAGGACUCCAAAGUAAGGUGGGCAUGGUGGUCCAUGCCUUUAAUCCCAGCAAUUAAAAGGCAGAGGUAGGUAGGUAGGUAGAGACCAGCCUGGUCUAUACAGUGAGUUCCAGACAGGCAGGGAUACAGAGAAACCCUGCCCCCCCCUUCCAAAAAAAAAAAAAAAAGCAAUCAAGCACACAAACAAAAGAACUCCAAAGUAAAAGCAGAGGCCACCAGAGUUGUGGAGGAAGAUGGAGAGAGACAUGGGGCUUCCACGGGCCAAAGUCCAGACAGGUCUCAAAUCUGUCACAUCUGUGCCAUGCUGUGGGAACUGCUGGUAUACCUAGAACUGCCAAGGCAGUGUUCCACUCACCCUGUCAAGCCCCAGAGUACCCCCACCUUCCCCUGGCACAGCAGGGGCUGAGGGUGGGAGCUGGGGUGGGGCUGUGGACCUGGGCGAAUCUCAGACUUCGAAUAAAGGGGACUUAGCUUCCUCUCCUCACUCCUUGAGAGGCUCACUAUACAGCCCAGGCUGGUCUUGAACUCUCAAUCUCCUGCCUCAGCAUCUCAAGUGCUGGGACUGCAGGUACCACCACACCCUGCUUUUUAUACCUCUUUGUACUUGAACUCAGAUGGGGACAAUCACAUAUAACCCAAGGGAGACAGACACCUGGGACAUGUCUAACCUGUGCCACAUAAGUGGGAGAAGGGACUUGAGGAGCAGGCUAGACGCUGGGAGAAAACCUGAGUCAUUUCUCACAGCCCAGCUGCUCCAGACUGAUGGCCAAACUGUUCCUUGGAUCACCUGACUAGUUAAAAUCUGAACUCAGCUCUCAAGAGUGACCUCUUUGGCUACGGAAGGUUUUGUAUAUGCCAACAUUGUAAGAUCAAUGGCUUUGAUGAACCAGUCUGGUUUCCCCAUGAAAGGCAACUGAUGUGGCUACCCAGGUCUCCCUCCACGCCAGCAAUGGCCAUCUGCAGCAGAUGGUCAGGAUCUCCGGGUUAUUCUUGACGGGCCUCUGCCCGGCACCACCCGAGGAGGUACCAGUGGGCCAUUUCUCUUGUUCUCCUGAGAAAGUGUCCUCAGAUGCCUUCUUUGUCACAUUUCCCUCUUGGCCAUUUCCUGAUCAUCCCCAAGACUCCUGAAUCAGCAACACUAGUAACAGAAGUGGGAGGAAAAAAAAACAAAAAAACAAAGACAAACCCAAACAAAACUGAGACGGGCAACUCUCCAAACUGUGCUGCUUUGCCAUGGCAUUAGAUAACAGCUCAUUUUUAUUUCUCUUCUCGACAAUCGCCUACAGUUUCCAGACUCUCUAUAAAGAGCUUUAAUAUCAAAAGACAAAUGAACUGGUAUUUAAAAAGAACAUUCUCCCCAACCUGAAGGCUGAGGUCAAGAUGAAAUGCUGCCUUUUGCAGGAAGUCCUCCUGGAUUUCCAGCCCCCUGCCUGACACUCCAGGACUUGGUGAGAGCUUUUGCGGG